rnacentral:rRNA from 5 species
CAACUCUCAACAACGGAUAUCUUGGCUCCCGUAACGAUGAAGAACGCAGCGAAAUGCGAUACGUAGUGUGAAUUGCAGAAUUCCGUGAACCAUCGAAUCUUUGAACGCAAAUUGCGCUCGAGGCUUCGGCCAAGAGCAUGUCUGCCUCAGCGUCGGCU